rnacentral:rRNA from 1 species
UACGAAGGGGGCUAGCGUUGCUCGGAAUCACUGGGCGUAAAGCGCACGUAGGCGGAUUUUUAAGUCAGGGGUGAAAUCCUGGAGCUCAACUCCAGAACUGCCUUUGAUACUGGGAAUCUCGAGUCCGGAAGAGGUGAGUGGAACUGCGAGUGUAGAGGUGAAAUUCGUAGAUAUUCGCAAGAACACCAGUGGCGAAGGCGGCUCACUGGUCCGGUACUGACGCUGAUGUGCGAAAGCGUGGGGAGCAAACAGG